rnacentral:rRNA from 1 species
GACGAACGCUGGCGGCGUGCCUAAUACAUGCAAGUAGAACGCUGAAGGAGGAGCUUGCUUCUCUGGAUGAGUUGCGAACGGGUGAGUAACGCGUAGGUAACCUGCCUGGUAGCGGGGGAUAACUAUUGGAAACGAUAGCUAAUACCGCAUAAGAGUAGAUGUUGCAUGACAUUUGCUUAAAAGGUGCAAUUGCAUCACUACCAGAUGGACCUGCGUUGUAUUAGCUAGUUGGUGGGGUAACGGCUCACCAAGGCGACGAUACAUAGCCGACCUGAGAGGGUGAUCGGCCACACUGGGACUGAGACACGGCCCAGACUCCUACGGGAGGCAGCAGUAGGGAAUCUUCGGCAAUGGACGGAAGUCUGACCGAGCAACGCCGCGUGAGUGAAGAAGGUUUUCGGAUCGUAAAGCUCUGUUGUAAGAGAAGAACGAGUGUGAGAGUGGAAAGUUCACACUGUGACGGUAUCUUACCAGAAAGGGACGGCU